rnacentral:rRNA from 1 species
CCUACGGGAGGCUGCAGUGGGGAAUAUUGCACAAUGGGCGCAAGCCUGAUGCAGCCAUGCCGCGUGUAUGAAGAAGGCCUUCGGGUUGUAAAGUACUUUCAGCGGGGAGGAAGGCGAUGCGGUUAAUAACCGCGUCGAUUGACGUUACCCGCAGAAGAAGCACCGGCUAACUCCGUGCCAGCAGCCGCGGUAAUACGGAGGGUGCAAGCGUUAAUCGGAAUUACUGGGCGUAAAGCGCACGCAGGCGGUCUGUUAAGUCAGAGGUGAAAUCCCCGGGCUUAACCGGGGAACUGCAUUUGAAACUGGCAGGCUUGAGUCUUGUAGAGGGGGGUAGAAUUCCAGGUGUAGCGGUGAAAUGCGUAGAGAUCGGGAGGAAUACCGGUGGCGAAGGCGGCCCCCUGGACAAAGACUGACGCUCAGGUGCGAAAGCGUGGGGAGCAAACAGGAUUAGAUACCCCGGUAGUC